rnacentral:hammerhead_ribozyme from 1 species
AUCCAUCUGACGAUUCCCAAAUAGGACGAAACACGAGUCCUGGAU